rnacentral:rRNA from 1 species
ACACUCCUGCGGGAGGCAGCAGUGGGGAAUCUUGCGCAAUGGGCGAAAGCCUGACGCAGCCAUGCCGCGUGAAUGAUGAAGGUCUUAGGAUUGUAAAAUUCUUUCACCGGGGACGAUAAUGACGGUACCCGGAGAAGAAGCCCCGGCUAACUUCGUGCCAGCAGCCGCGGUAAUACGAAGGGGGCUAGCGUUGCUCGGAAUUACUGGGCGUAAAGGGAGCGUAGGCGGACAUUUAAGUCAGGGGUGAAAUCCCGGGGCUCAACCUCGGAAUUGCCUUUGAUACUGGGUGUCUUGAGUAUGAGAGAGGUGUGUGGAACUCCGAGUGUAGAGGUGAAAUUCGUAGAUAUUCGGAAGAACACCAGUGGCGAAGGCGACACACUGGCUCAUUACUGACGCUGAGGCUCGAAAGCGUGGGGAGCAAACAGGAUUAGAUACCCCAGUAGUCCCAUGAU